GGUUUAGUAGAUCUUGAAGGUGAAAGAGUGAUUACUAGUUCUACCUUAUCAAACCUUGCUGAUCCCAAACCUAAUCAAAUUGGAAUGUUUGACAUGAAUUUUGUGUGCAAUUAUGGGAGAAUUUGGUAGGUCUUCAGGGUUGAAGAUGGAGUAGUAGGAUGGUUUUUUGUUGUAAUAGAAAAAGUGAGUCAGUUCUGGUAAAACUGAAAAGAGGGAAAUUUGCUCAAUUUCCUAUACAAACUUCUUAACGAGUGUGGUGAAUGAACUAGAAGUAAACCUUAGUUUUCUUGCAAUAUUUUAUUGUCCUCAUGGCCAUUUUAUCAUAAUUAUUAUCCAUCAGGAUGUGCUGUCUUGUUUGGAUUAACUACAGUAAACCCUAUUCAUAGAUAUCUUCUUGUGCAGUUUUACGAAUGGAGCAAGAUGUGGA
rnacentral:lncRNA from 1 species